rnacentral:piRNA from 1 species
UGAGGGACUGUCACUGGAUGAUGGGAGU